UGCAGUCGAACGGCAGCACAGAGGAGCUUGCUCCUUGGGUGGCGAGUGGCGGACGGGUGAGGAAUACAUCGGAAUCUACUUUUUCGUGGGGGAUAACGUAGGGAAACUUACGCUAAUACCGCAUACGACCUACGGGUGAAAGCAGGGGACCUUCGGGCCUUGCGCGAUUGAAUGAGCCGAUGUCGGAUUAGCUAGUUGGCGGGGUAAAGGCCCACCAAGGCGACGAUCCGUAGCUGGUCUGAGAGGAUGAUCAGCCACACUGGAACUGAGACACGGUCCAGACUCCUACGGGAGGCAGCAGUGGGGAAUAUUGGACAAUGGGCGCAAGCCUGAUCCACCCAUACCGCGUGGGUGAAGAAGGCCUUCGGGUUGUAAAGCCCUUUUGUUGGGAAAGAAAUCCAGCUGGCUAAUACCCGGUUGGGAUGACGGUACCCAAAGAAUAAGCACCGGCUAACUUCGUGCCAGCAGCCGCGGUAAUACGAAGGGUGCAAGCGUUACUCGGAAUUACUGGGCGUAAAGCGUGCGUAGGUGGUCGUUUAAGUCCGUUGUGAAAGCCCUGGGCUCAACCUGGGAACUGCAGUGGAUACUGGGCGACUAGAGUGUGGUAGAGGGUAGCGGAAUUCCUGGUGUAGCAGUGAAAUGCGUAGAGAUCAAGAGGAACAUCCAUGGCGAACGCAGCUACCUGGACCAACACUGACACUGAGGCACGAAAGCGUGGGGAGCAAACAAGAUUAGAUACCCUGGUAGUCCACGCCCUAAACGAUGCGAACUGGAUGUUGGGUGCAAUUUGGCACGCACUAUCGAAGCUAACGCGUUAAGUUCGCCGCCUGGGGGAGUACGGUCGCAAGACUGAAACUCAAAGGAAUUGACGGGGGCCCGCACAGCGGCUGGAGUAUGUGGUUUAAUUCGAUGCAACGACGAAGAACCUUACCUGGCCUUGACAUGUCGA
rnacentral:rRNA from 1 species